AAAGGAAUAGACGGGGGCCCGCACAAGCGGAGGAGCAUGUGGCUUAAUUCGAUGCAACGCGAAGAACCUUACCCAGGCUUGACAUGCGGCUGCACGCCCGGCGAAAGCCGGGUUCCUUCGAGGGUGCCGCACAGGUGCUGCAUGGCUGUCGUCAGUUCGUGCCGUGAGGUGUUUGGUUAAGUCCACCAACGAACGCAACCCCUGUGUCCGGUUGCCAGCGGAUAGCGCCGGGGACUCUGGACAGACUGCCCGUUCACACGGGAGGAAGGUGGGGAUGACGUCAAGUCAGUAUGGCCCUUACGCCUGGGGCCGCACACGUGCUACAAGGGCCGGCACAGAGGGACGCCAAGCCGCGAGGCGGAGCAAAUCCCCAAAACCGGCCCCAGUUCGGAUUGCGGUCUGCAACUCGACCGCAUGAAGUUGGAUUCGCUAGUAACGGCGCAUCAGCUACGGCGCCGUGAAUACGUUCCCGGGCCUUGUACACACCGCCCGU
rnacentral:rRNA from 1 species